rnacentral:rRNA from 1 species
GAUGAACGCUGGCGGCGUGCCUAAUACAUGCAAGUCGAGCGAACAGACGAGGAGCUUGCUCCUCUGACGUUAGCGGCGGACGGGUGAGUAACACGUGGAUAACCUACCUAUAAGACUGGGAUAACUUCGGGAAACCGGAGCUAAUACCGGAUAAUAUAUUGAACCGCAUGGUUCAAUAGUGAAAGACGGUUUUGCUGUCACUUAUAGAUGGAUCCGCGCCGCAUUAGCUAGUUGGUAAGGUAACGGCUUACCAAGGCAACGAUGCGUAGCCGACCUGAGAGGGUGAUCGGCCACACUGGAACUGAGACACGGUCCAGACUCCUACGGGAGGCAGCAGUAGGGAAUCUUCCGCAAUGGGCGAAAGCCUGACGGAGCAACGCCGCGUGAGUGAUGAAGGUCUUCGGAUCGUAAAACUCUGUUAUUAGGGAAGAACAAAUGUGUAAGUAACUAAGCGCGUCUUGACGGUACCUAAUCAGAAAGCCACGGCUAACUACGUG